GUGNACCUGCGGAAGGAUCAUUA
rnacentral:rRNA from 1 species